rnacentral:rRNA from 1 species
UACGUAGGGCGCAAGCGUUGUCCGGAAUUAUUGGGCGUAAAGAGCUCGUAGGUGGUUUGUUACGUCUGCUGUGAAAACCUAGGGCUUAACCCUGGGCCUGCAGUGGAUACGGGCAGACUAGAGGUAGGUAGGGGAGAAUGGAAUUCCCGUGGUAGCGGUGAAAUGCGCAGAUAUCGGGAGGAACACCGGUGGCGAAGGCGGUUCUCUGGGCCUUACCUGACACUGAGGAGCGAAAGCGUGGGGAGCGAACAGG